UUUUCGGGAUACGAGCUUGUAGGCGUUUUGAAGGGUACUAGUUGCCCUUCGCCCAAUCCUGUAGAACGAAAGUGGGGAUCCUAGACUUUGGUUCAGACCACGAAGACCGGGAUGGCUUCCGUGCGGAUCCGAGAGGCCGAGGAGGGAGACUGUGGAGACAUUCUGAGGAUGAUUCGGGAGCUGGCUGAUUAUGAGAACCUCUUGGAUCAGGUGAAGAUCAGUGAAGAAGCCCUGAGAGCAGAUGGUUUUGGAGACAAUCCUUUCUUUCACUGUGUGGUAGCAGAGAUUCUUCCACCUCACAGUGAGCCACAAGAGCCCCGUGUGGUGGGCUAUGGGCUGUACUACUUCAUUUACAGCACAUGGAAGGGACGCAGUGUCUAUCUGGAAGACGUCUACGUGAUGCCGGAAUAUCGGAGUCAGGGCAUUGGUUCCAAAAUAAUCAAAAAGGUGACUGAGGUGGCGCUUGAUAAGGGCUGCUCCCAGUUGCGCCUGUCAGUGCUGGACUGGAACAAGAGGGCCAUGAACCUAUACAAAGCUCUAGGAGCCCAAGAUCUGACUGAAGCGGAGGGCUGGCAUAACUUCUGCUUCCGCGGAGAGGCCAUGAGGGAGUUUGCAGGAAAUUGAUGCUACCCUUUGAGGAUGUUUCUCUACUUGAGCUUGUUCUUCCCCACCAGCUCAAGGACUCCUCAGUUACUAUCUCCACAAUCAGAGCCUCCCUGGAGGGAGGAGGGUUGGGGGUGAAUAUUCCUCAAGUACUAAAAGACCAGAAUUGAGGGGGAGGCUUUUCCACCUCUUCAUUGAGAGUGAAAAAUAAAUAAUUUCUGUGUCCUUUUGUGCUGUUGGCUACAGGGGUUGAUGAGAUGAUAAGCUUCAGCCACUUCAAGUCCUUUCCUGAGUGUUCCCACCAGUGGGGGGUGAGGUUGGACCCAACUUGACUUUCAUCCUUAGUAGGUCAGAGCCUUGGCGCUGGCCUGGUAGAUAUAAGGAAAAGAAAAGCUGGAUGGAUUGAGCCUGGAGAGCCCUAGAGGGGCCUAGCUUGGCACAUCAGGCUUAUCUGUCAUGUUUGGGACCCAGACAAAGGCCUCAAAUGUCUGAAUGGAGUUGUGCCUGGAUCCAGGACUAAGGCAGGCAGGGGACUAAAUAGAACAGACUGCCACCUAGUGGUGUCCUUUCAGGGACACUGGGAAGGAGCCCUGCUGGUAUAGUGGUUAAGAGCUUGGCUGCCAAUCAAAAGGUUGGCAGUUGAAAUCCACGAAGUUGCUCCUUAGGGUCACUAUGAGUCAGAAUCGACUCAACAGCAAUAGGUUUGGUUUUUGGGUUUGGGAAGGAGCAAUGGCCAUAACUUUAAAAAUCAACUCAGCUAGCUAAUGUCUUUCUUCCCCCCGUGUUGCAAAGUCUUUAUUUUCAGAGUGACAUGCCUUACAAAAGAAUGAAGUUUGACAACACCAAAACAAACUGUUAGGAUCCAUGAGGACAAGGAGAGAAACAGGAGGAGGGAGAGUAAUGCCUCCAGGUAAAAGACUAAAAAGCAGGUGACCAGUCUAAUCUUGUCCAUUAGACUUAUAGUAAUUUACUUAGAUUUACCAAGAAGAAGAGAACUUAUCUCUGAAAUGCCCUUAGCAGGAUGCUUCUGUCUAAUGGAUUAGUUACAGUGAAGAGAACCCAUGAUUUAUGGAUUUAUGAGGCAAGUAUCCAGAAAAUGUCACAUACACAACUCUCUGGGAUAUGGAACGGAGAUGAGAUGUUUUAUAAUUGGUGUAUGAAAGUUACCAGAGGUCCUGUCUGAUGUGGGAAGGCAGCAUCUAGGGUCUCCCUUUGAUGUUCAGAACUCUCUGUUCCAUCUGAACGCCUUGAUUGCCUGUAUCCUUGAAAUUACUGGUAAAGUUUUGACACUGAGUAAGAUCUCUGCAUCUGAUUUGACAAUCCAUCCUGUAUGUGAGCUCAGUCUGGAUGAGGGUGAUGGUUACAUGAGUGUAUAAUCUGUCGAAAUUGAUCAAGCUCUACACAAGAUUGGUGCAUUUUUUCUGUAUGAAAUUAUACCUCAAUAAAGUACUAUUAGAAAAAAAAAAGGAACUAUGGAAGUCUAGACGC